rfam:Cricetulus griseus cell line CHO-K1, whole genome shotgun sequence.
UUACCAGUCAGGCUCUGGCUAUAUCUCAGGUCUCAGUUGGUGCUGGAUAUAACCACAGCCCAACUGUACA